rnacentral:rRNA from 1 species
AGGACGAACGCUGGCGGUGUGCUUAACACAUGCAAGUCGAGCGGUAAGGCCCUUUCGGGGGUACACGAGCGGCGAACGGGUGAGUAACACGUGGGUGACCUGCCCUUAGCUCUGGGAUAAGCCUGGGAAACUGGGUCUAAUACCGGAUAUGACUCCAUGACGCAUGUUGUGGGGUGGAAAGCCUUGUGCGGCUAGGGAUGGGCCCGCGGCCUAUCAGCUUGUUGGUGGGGUGAUGGCCUACCAAGGCGACGACGGGUA